rnacentral:rRNA from 1 species
UUUUAUGGAGAGUUUGAUCCUGGCUCAGGAUGAACGCUGGCGGCGUGCCUAAUACAUGCAAGUCGAGCGAACAGACGAGGAGCUUGCUCCUCUGACGUUAGCGGCGGACGGGUGAGUAACACGUGGAUAACCUACCUAUAAGACUGGGAUAACUUCGGGAAACCGGAGCUAAUACCGGAUAAUAUAUUGAACCGCAUGGUUCAAUAGUGAAAGACGGUUUUGCUGUCACUUAUAGAUGGAUCCGCGCCGCAUUAGCUAGUUGGUAAGGUAACGGCUUACCAAGGCAACGAUGCGUAGCCGACCUGAGAGGG